rnacentral:rRNA from 1 species
UACGGAGGAUGCAAGCGUUAUCCGGAUUUAUUGGGUUUAAAGGGUGCGUAGGCUGUGUAUCAAGUCAGUGGUGAAAGACCGGGGCCCAACCUCGGAAGUGCCAUUGAUACUGAUAUGCUGGAGUACCCCUGCCGUGGGAGGAAUGAGUGGUGUAGCGGUGAAAUGCAUAGAUAUCACUCAGAACACCGAUUGCGAAGGCAUCUCACGAAAGGGCAACUGACGCUGAGGCACGAAAGCGUGGGGAUCAAAC